UAUGAAGGUCAGGCUGAAGACCUUACCCGAUUAGCUGAGAGGUGGUGCAUGGCCGUCGUCAGUUCGUACUGUGAAGCAUCCUGUUAAGUCAGGCAACGAGCGAGACCCACGUCCACAGUUGCCAGCAUACCCUCCGGGGUGAUGGGUACACUGUGGAGACCGCCGCUGCUAAAGCGGAGGAAGGAGUGGGCAACGGUAGGUCAGUAUGCCCCGAAUCUCCCGGGCUACACGCGGGCUACAAUGGUUGGUGCAAUGGGCAUCUACCCCGAAAGGGGAAGGAAAUCUCUUAAAGCCAAUCGUAGUUCGGAUUGAGGGCUGCAACUCGCCCUCAUGAAGCUGGAAUCCGAAGUAAUCGCGUUUCAACAGAACGCGGUGAAUACGUCCCUGCUCCUU
rnacentral:rRNA from 1 species